GCCGGCGUAGCUCAAGCGGCAGAGCAACUGACUUGUAAUCAGUAGGUCAUGGGUUCGAGUCCCAUCGCCGGCU
rnacentral:tRNA from 1 species